CCCCGCUUGAAAGGGAUUGAUGCAUCUACCACAGUUGUUUAACUGGAUUUCACUCAAUGACCAGGCAGAUCUUUUGUUUCCCUUUUUUCUUCUUUUCGGCCAUAGUCAGCCACAGGUGAAAAACCUUUAAAUACAAACCAAAAAACCAAAAUACAAAUUACGUUUGUUAUCACACAUCUGCGAACAUUAACCAAUCCAAACCUUUUUUAACAGUAGCAGUGCAUAAGCUUUGUAGCACAAUAUUUACUUGAGUAUUUUUAAAUGCUCAAAUUAUGUAAUUCAAUCUAACGAUUGAACACAAGAUUAAAAGAUAUUGCUUUUUUAAAAGUGAUAAAUCAAAUGGCUAAUCUGCAUUAGAACUUAAACAGUAAACAAUAGCAUUUAUGACCAGUUUUUCUUGCAUUUAACCAUAUGCAAGCAUUAACAGUGUACCAUAUGCAGACCAACAACAAACAAUGGUGUCGCUCAUAAACAUUAGUUCCAGCCUGUCACUUUUACUUUUUUGUCUCAGGGCUCUCCACCUCCUAAACUCAGUUUGACUUUACAUUGACUGAACCCAAAAAUGUAAUGAAAAAUGUUGACAAUGUCAUGGGUAAUGUACAACAGUUGACUGUAACUCCUUCAGUUUUAUGGUAGAUAAAAGCAUCUUGUUAGGCUACCACAUGGUAAAUGCAGGAUUUGUCAGAGCUUCUGCAUUAUUCAGACUUAUUCUUAGUCAUGUAGUUUAAGGUCUUUAAUAGACAACAAAGCUGUGUGUCAGAGUGCCGGAGGCCUCUAGGGACAUGUUAUUGAACAGGAAGAUGCUGAACUUAAUGUUCUCGCAAAAUGUAAUUUUUGAGUUAAGAAACGGUUGCAGUGCAGUUUUCUUUUUUUAGAAUCUGGGAGACAGCAGUAACCUUUUUCUAUUCAGUUUGAGCAAUGAAAGAAAAAUGUCCUGUACUCUGUCUCCACAGAGAAUCCAUUUACACCAUUCAGUACAACAUCCGUGCAUUCAUGAAUGUCAAAACCUGGCCUUGGAUGAAGCUAUACUUUAGAAUAAGGCCACUUCUCGGGAGUGCAGAGGCAGAGAUGGCACAAAUGAAAGUGGACUUUGAAAAGACCAAGGAGGACCCAGCAAAGGCUCUGGCUAAGAGGAAAAAACUGGAGGAAAAGAUGGUUACUCUCGUACAGGAGAAGAAUGACUUGCAGAUCCAAAUUCAGAGUAAGGGUGAAACCCUCGCUGAUGCAGAGGAAAGGUGUGAGGGGCUCAUUAAAGGAAAGAUCCAACUCAGGGUCCAACUUAAAGAGACAGCCGAGAGACUGGAGGAUGAGGAGGAAAUGAACGCUGAGCUGACUGACAAGAAGAGGAAGUUGGAGGACGAGUGCUCUGUGCUGAAGAAGGAUAUUGAUGACUUGGAGCUGACCCUGGCCAAAGUGGAAAAGGAGAAACAUGCCACUGAGAACAAGGUUAAAAGUCUCACAGAGGAACUGGCUGCUCAAGAUGUGUCCAUUGCCAAGCUGAGCAAAAAAAAGGAAGCCCUCCAAAAGGCCCAAAAGCAGACCCUUGAUGACCUGCAGGCAGAGGAAGACAAAGUUAACAGCCUGACGAAGGUCAAGACCAAGCUGGAGCAGCAAGUGGACGAUAUUGAAGGUACACUGGAGCAAGAAAGGAAGCUCCGUAUGGAUCUUGAGCGAGCUAAAAGAAACCUCGAGGGAGAUCUGAAACUGGCCCACGAAACCAUCAUGGAUCUUCCAUGAAAGGUGGCAAGAAGCAUCUCCAGAGACUAGAGGUUCGGGGGCUGGAGGCGGAGGUUUAGGUGGAGCAGAAACAUGGAUCUGUGGCUGUGAAGGGUGUCAAGUAUGAACCUAAAGUGAAGGAGCUGACUUAUCAGGUAGGAUGCAACAAAACAGAAAUGCUUUUUCUGUCCCUAAAAUCCCAAAAUUUUAAUUAAAUAAGGAAGUGAUGAGUGAUCAUCACGUAUAGUUUUAUAAUUUGUGCUGCCAAGAAAAAACUGGGUGUAUAAUAUGCAUUACACCCCUAGAGGGCAAUAAUCUCCAUAAUAUGAAGAGUCUGUGGCUCCAACAGUAGUUGACGAACUGAUGUGAUAAAGAGUACACCACCCUUGAAACUAAACUCUCUGGUUGCAACUAUAAAUACACACAGUUAUGUGUUUAUAUCUAUGCUAAUUGUGUGAAAUUGCUAGAGCUGUUCAACAGAUUUUCACUUUGAAAAACUGAGGAGAUCAGGAACUCCUGCAUAUGCAGUUGCAUGUGCAGAUGGGUUGAUAGAGAUGUCGGUGUUUGCGCUGCGCUGAAACAUCCCCUUCACAUAGUCUGCAGUAUGUUGUAAGUGAGUGUUUGGUGCAUAUUUGUUUGUUGUUGUCCCUCGUGUGCGUCUGAAGUGGAUUCACUGUGGAAGAUGAGCAUGUUGUGUGCUCUGAAGUUGUUUUGAAGACGUUCAUGAAUCAGAUAGAGAAGAAGUAGGUCUCUGUAGUGGUAGUUUCAGACAGACUCUGCUGUCUCUAGGCUGAGUAGGACAAGAAGACCUGACUUCAAGAUCUUGUGGACAAGCUGCAGCUGUCUGUCUGAGAAAGCUGUGAGUGUGAAAUAUUCAACACAUGCAAAGCAGAUAGUCAUGACAAAGUAACACCUUUACUUCUGACCCUGUUGACAGCAGUGUACUUAAAGCAGGAAGCAGAAUUAUUUUACGAUGGUUCACAGAAAGUUGACUGAAAGUUGUUCAUCUGGAACGUUUCUCCCACUAAAAACUCCAGAAGCGUCCAGAUAAACAGAUUUAAUUUCCUUACCUGGAUUACUGAGCGUGCAUCAAGAGAUUUAAUGAAAGUUAUUUUUUUACUGAUGAGUGGCAUCAUUGCCUUAACUUCUACUUUUAAGGAGGAGCAAGCCAACACUGACCUGGCCAGGAACAGGAAGGUUCAGCAUGAGCUUGAGGAAGCUCAGGAGCGCGCUGACAUCACAGAGUUGCAGGUCAACAAGCUGAAAGCAAAGAGCCGUGAAAUUGUCAGGGUCAAGGAGACAUGAAUGAACCGCAGUCUGGAUGAAAUCACACAAUAUGAGCUUUUUUGUCUGAUGUACCAACUACGUGACAAGAAAUAAACACACAAGCAGUUGAAUAUCUUUUAUGUCGUGUGCUUUAAAUAAUGCGUAACUCAAAAGAAGUAGACAUGAAGCUAGUUAUUCAGAGACAUUACGGUCAUCAAAGUUAAACAGAUAUUUUUUUAAAUAUUUGUAGGAGUGCUCGAGAGCUCCGGACGCAUUUCUCAAAAUGUGUCAGGAUUUAAAGGUGUACUUACACUUGGUGCACCUCUGCACAAGUUAAACAAUACAUAUAGAACCUAAUAACAGUGAACUGAAAUGCUCUUUUAUGUGUGUGGUGGUCUAAAUGUGGGCUGCACAGCUUCAUCACUCGCAAUAACCUGGUUGUCAACUGUCACCUGUUAUCACAUAGAAGUUCUUUAGGCUAUGAUAACUGUAAAUCUGUUCCCUUUGGUGAUAAUGUUACUGACAGAGUAGUGACCUUACAGUUUUUCUAUGUGCUCCAGCACAUAUGUUGCACCAUGUCACGACGUCGUGUGAUGAAAAUAGACCCAUCAGUGACCCACAACCUGCAGCAACACUCCUCCUCAUGCUUAAACCCGAGCAGUGUCUUGGCAUUCACCGUCACUACAUCUCAAAUUAUUGCUUUUUAUUUUAAUAAAAAGAAAAUCAUGGAAAACCCAAUAGAAACCUGAAGUAUUCUGGAAAGCUAGCAAAGUACAGAAAAGCUAAAGUAAUAUUGUAAUAUUUUAUUAAAGCAGAGUGAGGAAAAACAAGAUCAAUAACAUAUUUAAUGUGGAUGUUACUGCAGGUGUCUGAUUUUAAAUAUCUUUGUUUUGACGUGAAUCUCAGACAUCCUCCUCUGGGAAGUGGUUUUAUGAACAUUGAAUAGUGACUCCACUGGUAAUGGGAAACGACCUGAGAUUAAUAUUAGAUAGGCUUAGAUUGAACUGAAAUCAGCCUGGAGUCAUAAAGCUGAAUAAAAUAAGAUAAUCAGACUAAAACUAGUUGAGAAACUAGAAAUGAUAAGCUGAGCAAAACUAAUUGAUUAUAUUGUCUUUUUUUAAUUAAUAGUCCAAUUAGUCUUCCUUUAAAUGUGUUUAUUUAUCUGAUGCCACCUCAUAUCUCUUAGCUUCUUCUGCUAGAAGCUAAUACAUUUUCAUUUCAUAUAAACACAACAUGGACCCAUAGAUGCUGAAAACCUUUAAAAGCAACUAUAGAAAAAAAUACUUUUCUUUGCAUUUUCUAUUUAAAUCUGGACUCACAUUUUAAUACCAUUUCAGUAAGCGCUCUUGCAUCCUUCGGGAGGCUCAGGCCACCAAGGAGGCAGUUGUUUCAUAUCAAAGGUCGUUCCACAAUAAGACUUGAAGCUGUAACAAAUGGCUGAGCUCUGAGAGCAUUGCUGAGGAGACAGCUAUAUUUGUGUUUAUUCCAAAUAAGCACUCCCAGGAGCACAAGAGGUCGAGUAUCACAUUUCUUUUGAAUAUUUAGGCCUAUUUUGUCGAGUGUCAAGUCCUCAAUAUUUGGCUCCUAAUGCCCUCUUCCCUUCUUUGCUUCUUCAGUGUCAUCUUUCAACAAGGAAAGAAUGCAAACUACUACACGUCGUAUAACACGAUCCUCUCCUUGUCGCAUAUGGGGAACAAAUACUGGACUUAAGAGAAGGUCAAGCUACAAGCCGCUCCUUGUCUUUAGUUCAUCUGUCAGGGCACGCAGCACAACAAGACCAUUUUAAGAAAGGGUUUAAAAAUAAAUCCUUGCCCUCGAGACAACACAAGUGCUUGCCCUGAGAAACCUAGAGACACAAAUCUAAUCACCUGUUACCCGUGGAUCAGACGAUGGAAAGUUUAUUGUCCUGAAGACAAAUGCACCGUGACACGUUAGGAAGUACAAUGUCAAGGUCUUCAAAGGCGCGUAGCGAUGGCACGAGAGGAACUAGAAACGGUGAUGUACUGCUGUCAAAGACGUUCCUUCGCUCAGACACAGACAGUUAACUUGUCAACAGCAGUGGCUCAGCCUUAAGACAAAGCUGUAUGCCUUUGAAUGGUUGACUUUCAGCUGCAGGAUAAAGCGAGAUGAGAGGGUUGCAUCCGAACCCCCGUUGACUCAGUACAGUGUCAAAAAUCCAGCAAUGCAACCUGAUAUUGAGAAAAACUGUCAGUGAAAGUGAAGAUGCUACACGAAAUGGGGCGCUAAAAUGAGAGUGUAAAAUACAAAUGAUGGGCCAGGUGUGUGUGUGUGUGUGUGUGUGUGUGUGUGUGUGUGUGUGUGUGUGUGUGUGUGUCCUCAAACACACCGCAAACGAUCCCGUGUAAACCUGUACAUAUAUACCAGUUGGUCCCCUUGGUAUAUUGCAUUCAUGUCUGGUUCUACUGUGUUUUCCCUGUUUUUAAAAUUAAAGCAUACAAAAGAAGCAGUCAGGGCAGAGUGUGGGGCUUCUUAGCCUUUAUUGAUGAGGAAGACCUCAGCGUAGAUUCAGUACCAGGCCGCUGCAUUAGCCUUGUGGCCCGUGAGUUAACAAGCACCCCAACAAAAGCAGGCAGCAGACAUAUUUUCUAUCUUUUUGAUGUUGCUCCACUCAUAACAUGAGAUUUCAUGUCAGUCUCUAGAAAGCUCAAGCCCACUGACACAUCUCUCAUCAGAUUAUCAUACCUAGAGUAAUCAUAGCUACACAAAAUAUUACAUCUGAGCCUCUGCAAAACAAAAUAUCGGGCACUGGGUAGCUUCAUGAGUGUGCUGUGACCCUUACGUAUUGGUUAGAAAUGUUGAAGUUACGCCUCAGAGUGUGUUAACGGUCUGUCAGUAGGGAAUUAGUAGAAACCUGACACUGUUUCCCCUCCUUAACCCUCUCGAGGCAGGCGUUGCCGAUUUGCAACAGUUAAAAACUAACAACCUGAUUACCCCACAUACAUAUUUUAUGAGGUUUUUUUACUCAGAAGUACCACUGCAGGACUUGGUUGUGCAUUAGCAACAAAAAGUUCAAUUUGAGCCUGAGAGGGUUAAAAGUCUCAUCAGGUAACACACAGCUUUCUGGUCUGAUGUCCAGAGAGUAUAAAUGUCACAGCAACUGUUUUUGACCUUUAAUUAAUGCUUGCUGUUUUAAUUAUUAAUGACUGAAUUUCACUCUUACUAGUGUGGUGCCACACAUUUACCCAUUGCUUAGCAAGCGAAAGGUUACUGGUUUAGUUCCAGCUGGUGGCAUGCAUGUCCUUUGGGAUUGAGUCUAAAAAGGACAUUUGGUGUAACAAUCAAACACGUUACCUGCUGUGGUGACAAGGGAGCAGCUGAAAGUAGCGUUAAUUUUGAAUUGUACUGUUAUUGUUGUUUUUUAUGUGGAACGGAAAAUAAAGUGAAUGUGUUGAGAUUUUUAAA